rnacentral:rRNA from 1 species
UGGGGAAUUUUGGACAAUGGGCGCAAGCCUGAUCCAGCAAUGCCGCGUGCAGGAAGAAGGACUUCGGGUUGUAAACUGCUUUUGUACGGAACGAAACGGUCCUGGUUAAUACCUGGGGCUAAUGACGGUACCGUAAGAAUAAGCACCGGCUAACUACGUGCCAGCAGCCGCGGUAAUACGUAGGGUGCGAGCGUUAAUCGGAAUUACUGGGCGUAAAGCGUGCGCAGGCGGUUUUGUAAGACAGGCGUGAAAUCCCCGGGCUCAACCUGGGAAUGGCGCUUGUGACUGCAAAGCUGGAGUGCGGCAGAGGGGGAUGGAAUUCCGCGUGUAGCAGUGAAAUGCGUAGAUAUGCGGAGGAACACCGAUGGCGAAGGCAAUCCCCUGGGCCUGCACUGACGCUCAUGCACGAAAGCGUGGGGAGCAAACAGG